GAUGAGAACGUAGCGAAAUGCGAUAAGUAAUGUGAAUUGCAGAAUUCAGUGAAUCAUCGAGUCUUUGAACGCACAUUGCGCCCCCUGGUAUUCCGGGGGGCAUGCCUGUCCGAGCGUCAUUGCUGCCCUCAAGCACGGCUUGUGUGUUGGGCCCCCGUCCCCGGUUUCCCCCGGGGACGGGCCCGAAAGGCAGCGGCGGCACCGCGUCCGGUCCUCGAGCGUAUGGGGCUUUGUCACCCGCUCUGUAGGCCCGGCCGGCGCCAGCCGACACCCAACUUUAUUUCUAAGGUUGACCUCGGAUCAGGUAGGGAUACCCGCUGAACUUAAGCAUAUCAAUAAGCGGAGGA
rnacentral:misc_RNA from 1 species